GGGGCUGAGCUGUGCAUCUGUGGGGCUGAGCUGAGCCUAUGGGGCUGAACUGUGCAUCUGUGGGACUGAGCUGUGAGCUUAUGGGGCUGAGCUGAGCCUCUGUGGGGAUGAGCGGAGCCUAUGGGGCUGAGCUGUGAGCCUAUGGGGCUGAACUGUGCAUCUCUGGGGCUGAGCUGUGCAUCUAUGGGGCUGAGCUGAGCCUAUGGGGCUGAACUGUGAGCCUGUAGGGCUGAACUGUGCAUCUAUGGGGCUAAGCUGAGCCUAUGGGGCUGAACUGUGCAUCUAUGGAGCUGAGCUGUGAGCCUAUAGGGCUGAGCUGUGCGUCUGCGGGGCUGAGCUGUGAGCCUAUGGGGCUGAGCUGAGCCUACAGGGCUGAACUGUGCAUCUAUGGGGCUAAGCUGAGCCUAUGGGGCUGAGCUGUGAGCCUAUGGGGCUGAACUGUGCAUCUAUGGGGCUGAGCUGAACCUACGGGGCUGAACUGUGCAUCUGUGGGGCUGAACUGUGAGCCUAUGGGGCUGAGCUGAGCCUAUGGGGCUCAGCUGUGAGCCUAUAGGGAUGAACUGUGCAUCUCUGGGGUUGAACUGUGCAUCUAUUGGGCUGAGCUGAGCCUAUGGGGCUGAACUGUGAGCCUGUAGGGCUGAACUGUGCAUCUAUGGAGCUGAGCUGCGAGCCUAUAGGGCUGAGCUGUGCAUCUGUGGGGCUGAGCUGUGCGUCUGUGGGGCUGAGCUGUGAGCCUAUGUGAUUGAAUCUAUGGGGUCUAUGAGCUGUGCUGUGAGCCCAUGGGGCCAUGAACAGUCUAUGGGGCUGUGCUGGGCUGCGAGAUUAUGGGGCUGUGCACUGUGAGUCUAUGGGGCUGUGCUGCACGCUUAUGGGGCCGAAUGCUGUGAGCCUGUGGGGCUGCGCUGUGAGCCCAUAGGGCUGUGCGCUGUGAGUCUAUGGGGCUGUGCUGUGAGUCUAUAGGGCCACGCACUAUGAACUUUUGGGGCUGUGCUGUGAGCCCGUAGGGCCGUGCACUGUGAGUUUAUAGGGCUGUGCACUGUGAGUCUAUAGGGCUGUGCUGUGAGCCUGUGGGGCCAUGUGCUGCGAAUCUAUAGGGCUAUAGAGUGAGCCUAUGGGGUGUGCUCUGAGCCCAUGGGGCCGUGCACUGUAAGUCUAUAGGGCCGUGCACUGUGAGCCUAUAGGGCCAUGCACUGUGAGUCUAUAGGGCUGUGCUGUGAGCCUGUGGGGCCAUGUGCUAUGAACCUAUAGGGCUAUAGAGUGAGCCUAUGGGGUGUGCUCUGAGCCCAUGGGGCCGUGCACUGUGAGCCUAUAGGGCUAUGGGGCAAUGCUGUGAGCGAGGUGUGGGGCAGAAUAGGACUGCGGGAUCCCUGGAAGGAUUUUGCUGCCACGUGGCCUCCGUGCUGCCCUGGAUCCUCAGCUGCCGGCAGCUGCCAGCCCGGACCUAUUGGCCACCACAGCUGCCGUUCCCAAACCCCGUUUGACUUUCUGGCCCCAUAGAGCCGUCCCUGGGAAUACUCACAACAGCGCCGGGGGGGCCGGGAGCGCCUCUCUCUCCGGGUUUGCCGGGCUCACCCUGCGAGGAAGAGAGUGGGGUGAGGUGUGCGUCAAAACCACAGCGCCCCCAUACAUGGAUGGACCCCCCCAUACACAUAUAGGGACACCGCCCCUGAGCCCCCCCCACACACACACCGUGGGGCUCUGUGAGCCUGUGUGGGGCCACGUGCUGCCAACCUAUAGGGCUCCGCGAGAGCCUCGCGCCACACAUCUGACAUGAAGCCCCCCACGCAGCCCCCCCCUAUAGGAGGGGGGGGGGAGCAAAGGGGCCGUCGGUGAACCGCGUGGUUAUGGGGGGGGGGGGAGGAGGGGGGGUUAAGUAACCGCGGGGUUACGUACCGGGGGUCCGGUUUUGCCGUCGGGACCGGGGCUGCCGGGGCUUCCAGUCAGACCCUGGGAGGAGCGGUAGGGCCGGGUUAAGGCGCGGGGCGCGGGGUGGGCUUUGGGGCCGGACGUGGGCAGGGCCGGGAGUCGGCUGUGCCCGUCUGGCCGCGCUCACCUUGGCACCGGGGAGGCCGGGUUCACCGGGACGGCCGGCUUCACCGGGAGAUCCUUUGGGGCCGACGGCGCCGGGGGAACCGCGCUCUCCGGGGGGGCCCUUGGGACCGGCGAUGCCGUCGGCACCGGGGAAACCGCGGCUGCCGGGGGCGCCCCGUUCGCCCGCAGGACCGGGCAGCCCAGCAGGGCCGGGCUCUCCACGCGCUCCUCUCUUGCCUUCCUCGCCGGCGGGGCCGGGGGGGCCUUGAACGCCAGCGGGACCGGGUUCGCCUUUGGCACCGGUGUCACCUUUGUUGCCCGGAGCACCGGGUUCACCGCUGUUCCCUUUGGGUCCGGGGGCACCGCUGGGACCUUGGGGUCCGGAGGGACCGCGAGCACCAGGGAAGCCGGGGGCACCGGCGAUGCCGGGAGCGCCCGUAGCACCUUUGGCACCGGGCUGACCGUCGGCACCGGGGUUACCGGCGGGACCGGCAGCGCCAGCUGGGCCGGGGGGACCGGGUUCGCCACGGGCACCUUGGGGACCUUCGCUACCGCGGGCACCUUGGGGACCCGUUUCGCCCUGGGGAGGAAGAGGAGGGACGGAGGGUCACGGCCGGGCCGCCCGCAGCCGCAGCGCUCCCCCUUUCCAGCGGCGCGGCCGUUGGCGGUGUCAGCCCUGCGCCACCGACGGGCACCGCGGCCGCCGCGGCGCUUUGGGGCCACGGGGGAGAAAAGCCCCCAUCCCACCGCCCCCCGAACCCCCAGCCGGGCGGUGGGGCCGCGGCCGGGGGGCGGAGGUCCUACCUUAGCGCCAGCGGCGCCGGGGAAGCCGGGGGGACCCGCGGGACCGGUCGGGCCGGGAGGACCGGCAGCACCGGGAGCACCGUCGUUACCGCGAGCGCCAGCGGGACCGGAUGGACCGGGGCGGCCUCUCUCGCCGGGAAGACCGCGGGGACCCAUCUGUCCGGGAGCGCCGUUCUCUCCAGGGCUGCCAGGCUCACCCUACGACGACAAAUAAUCAUAACAACAAGAUGCAAAAAAUGGCUUUUCUGCCCCAAAAAGGGAGCAGAAGGACCCCGCAGUGGGGGUUUGGGGGGGGGCCGCCCCUGCAGCACUGCUCACCUUGGGACCAGCAGGGCCGGGCUCACCCUUGGCACCAUCCAAACCACUGAAGCCCUGGGGGGCAGAGGAGGGGGGUCAGCAGCCGUAGGCCGGGUGUUGGGGUACCGUGGGGGUGUCCCCGACUUGGGGGCGCUCCCAGCUCACCCCACAUCUCGUGGGUGCAUUGGGGGGGGGAUGUGGCACUCACUCUGUGUCCCUUCAUGCCCGGCAGACCGGCAGUUCCGGGGAGCCCACGUGCGCCCUACAAGGAAAGGCCUUGUGGUGACACAGAGCCACGAGGGGGGGUCGGGGGGUCCCACACCCCAUCCUCUGUGUGCUGUGCAUGCGGUGGGUCCCCCCGCCGUGGGGAAAGCCUCACCUGGGGGCCGGGGGGGCCGCGUUCGCCAGGACGGCCGGGUUUGCCAGCUUCACCCUAUGGAGAAGGACCCGGUUGGUGGCACAGCCCCACAGCAUUGAGCCCCCGGGGGGGGGCAGUGCCAACAGGCAGGGAGGGGGGGGUCCGACCCUCUGCCACUUACAUCAUCGCCGUUCUUGCCAGGGGGGCCAGCGGGGCCGCGGGGGCCCAUGGGUCCCUACGAGAUAGGAAAGGGCUGUGGGGGGCUGUGGGGGUGCGGAGCUCCUCGCUGCCCCACUGCCCCCUCCCAGCACUGCUGGGGUUGGGGGUACCGCUGCAGUCCCGGCACUUACGGAGGCUCCGGGCUCGCCGGGUUCACCAGGGGGGCCUUGGAAACCUUGAGGGCCCUAUGGUUCAACGGGGGAAAAAAGGGUUAGAAAAGGAGAAAGAUGGGUGUGAAGACCCCAAUGAUGAGUUCAGACCCACCCCCCCACCCCAUAUGGGUUCCCAUCAUUGUGGGCUUCCUUACACAUAUGGGGAGGGGGUGCUGCGUCCCGCCCUCACCCAACCUGUGCCCACCCCCACCACAAAGGGCACCCACACCAAAGGGUCCCUGGGGGGUCUCGGCCCCAAAACUGAGCUGAGGAGGAUGAGGAGAUACUCACAGGAGCACCAGGAGGGCCGGGGAGACCACGGGGUCCUGCAGGGCCCUGGGGGGGGGGACAAGGAGACAGAGCUGAGUGUGUGCCACCCCCUUCCCCAUCCUUGUCCCAUUGCUGCGUCAGCCCAUCCCCACCCCAUUCCCACCCCACCGAUGUCUGCACUGCCGCCCCAUUUCUGUCCCCAGCGCCACCCUACACCCACCCCAGCACCGUCUCCUUACUGUCCUGUUGAUGCCCCUCUUGCCCCCCCCAUCUCUCUCCCCAGCACCUAUUACAGUCCCCACUGUCUCUAUUUUACUGCUGCCUCACUGACAUCCCCACUGCUGCCCCUCUGAUGUCCCCAUCUCCAGCCCAUCCCUUUCCAUUGCCACCCCAUCCCUGUCCCAUUGCUGCCCCCCUGCUGUCCCUAUUGCUGCCCAUUACCCAUCCCCAUCACCACUCCAUCCUUGUCCCAUUGGUACCCACCCUCAUCUCUGUCCCCAUCACCACCCCUUCUUGUCCCCAUUGCCACCCUAUCCUUGUCUGCAAUCCUACCCUACUGAUGUCCCCAUUGCUACCCAACCCCUUUCCCCAUCACCAUCCCAUUGCUGUCCCCAUCACUACCCCAUGCUGUCCCCAUUGCCGUCCCAUCCCUGCCCCCAUUCCCACUUUAUUGAUGCCCCCAUUGCCACCCAAUCCCUUUCCCUAUCACCACCCCAUGGCUGUCCCCAUUGCCACCCUAUCCCAGUCGUGAUUGGCACCCAUACCUACCCCUGUCCCCAUCACCACCCCAUGGCUGUCCCCAUUAUUGCCCCUUGUUGUCCCCAUUGCCACCCAGUCCCUCUCUCACUGCUACCCUACUGACAUCCCCGUCACCACCCAAUCCCUGUCCCCAUCGCCACCCCUUGUUGACCCCACUGACACCCCAUCCCCGUCCCCACUGACACCCCAUCCCUUUUCCCCUUGCCACUCCACCUGUCCCCAUUGCCACCCCAUCCCUGUUCCC
rnacentral:lncRNA from 1 species